rnacentral:rRNA from 1 species
GAUGAACGCUAGCUACAGGCUUAACACAUGCAAGUCGAGGGGAAACGACAUCGAAAGCUUGCUUUUGAUGGGCGUCGACCGGCGCACGGGUGAGUAACGCGUAUCCAACCUGCCCACCACUUGGGGAUAACCUUGCGAAAGUAAGACUAAUACCCAAUGAUAUCCCUAGAAGACAUCUGAAAGAGAUUAAAGAUUUAUCGGUGAUGGAUGGGGAUGCGUCUGAUUAGCUUGUUGGCGGGGUAACGGCCCACCAAGGCAACGAUCAGUAGGGGUUCUGAGAGGAAGGUCCCCCACAUUGGAACUGAGACACGGUCCAAACUCCUACGGGAGGCAGCAGUGAGGAAUAUUAGUCAAUGGACGAGAGUCUGAACCAGCCAAGUAGCGUGCAGGAAGACGGCCCUAUGGGUUGUAAACUGCUUUUAUAAGGGAAUAAAGUGAGUCUCGUGAGACUUUUUGCAUGUACCUUAUGAAUAAGGACCGGCUAAUUCCGUG